UGGCACCACUUGGUGGACAAAAGAAAGAUGAACAAACUGAAAUGUUUGACAUGUGUCAAACAUUUGGACGCGUGCAUGUUUCACCAGUGAGAAAUGGAGGGCAGCAGUCUCUCCAACCACAGCUCGCUGGUCUGAAAGACACGUUCUGGAACGGAGUGUGGCUGGCGCAGCAGGUGGACCAGAGCAGCGUGGCGCUCGCUGUCAGAGAGUGUAAGAGUGAUCGUUGCGUUCUUGACGCCUUUUAUACUCUUUUUGUGAUGACGUCAUCAAAAGAAGAAAAAUAAAAAGAAAAAAAAACCCUUUCGAACUGCUGAACAGAAAAGUGAGCGAGAAACUGCAAAGAGAAGUUUCAUGGAGGGCUCGGGUCUCGAACCAGCAUUGCAAUCUUCGAAGGCAAAGGUGUCAUCCACUCGACCAUUGCCGGUGCGUUCGAAUGCGGAGAUUUGCUUCUAAUAUCACAAAUCAUGAAGGUAUCAGGUUCAGAGUUAUCCUUCAAAUACUAACAUUCAACCCACUUCUGUAAUAACUCGAAUGGCCGAAUGGUUAAAGCUUUUACCUUUGGUUCAGGAGAGGCUGGUUCGAAUCUUACAUGUCUGCGUAUUUGCAAAAGCUGCAAAGAGCAAGUCUCGAACCCGAGGCUGCUGGACACCGACCCAAGUCGUGAACCAUUCUGCCAUUUUGGCGUUGAAUUUUCAAAGUUUUUUUAAUGUAUUUAUAGCACAUGUCUCAUGAAAUGGAUAAAAUUACCAAAACCGGUUUGUAUUGCAGAGCAGUCCGUGGUGUAGUAGGUAAAGCUUUUGCCUUAUGUUCGGGAGAACCGAGUUCGAGUCUCACACCAUGCAAACUUUAGCUUAAAGAAUGCUAUGUGUUGGGCUCGAACCAUAGUCUCCCGAUCACCGGCUAAAGUUAUAAUCCACUCUGCCAUUUUGGACGUGACAGUCGGUUUUUUUUUUGGGAAGAACAUAGAGGACGUCAGGCCAAAUGAAAAAGAAAAAUUGACAUGUCCAUUAUCCGCUGGGUUACAUACAAGUGAAUGGGGGCACUGCCAUCUUGCGGUAGCUUGCCGUCAUUACAUGAACCGCUUCAUAAACUAUCAAGUCAUGCUCAAGCCAUCUCUUGUUCAAGUGCUUGUCUGUAAAUGACCUUUAAUUAAAAUGGUUCCUUUAAUCCCACGUCAAAUUCCCUGUACUUGGUCAAUAAAGCUGAUUGUGAUUUUCAGAG